rnacentral:rRNA from 1 species
GACGAACGCUGGCGGCGUGCCUAAUACAUGCAAGUAGAACGCACAGUUUAUACCGUAGCUUGCUACACCAUAGACUGUGAGUUGCGAACGGGUGAGUAACGCGUAGGUAACCUGCCUGGUAGCGGGGGAUAACUAUUGGAAACGAUAGCUAAUACCGCAUAAUAUUAAUUAUUGCAUGAUAAUUAAUUGAAAGGUGCAAUUGCACCACUACCAGAUGGACCUGCGUUGUAUUAGCUAGUAGGUGAGGUAACGGCUCACCUAGGCGACGAUACAUAGCCGACCUGGGAGGGUGAUCGGCCACACUGGGACUGAGACACGGCCCAGACUCCUACGGGAGGCAGCAGUAGGGAAUCUUCGGCAAUGGACGAAAGUCUGACCGAGCAACGCCGCGUGAGUGAAGAAGGUUUUCGGAUCGUAAAGCUCUGUUGUAAGAGAAGAACGGGUGUGAGAGUGGAAAGUUCACACUGUGACGGUAUCUUACCAGAAAGGGGCGGCUAACUACGUG